rnacentral:tRNA from 1 species
CUCGCCAUAGCACAAUGGAUAGUGCAACCGCCUCCUAAGCGGUAGAUGUGGGUUCGAUUCCCGCUGGCGGGACCA